rnacentral:rRNA from 1 species
AGCAGCCGCGGUAAUUCCAGCUCCAAUAGCGUAUAUUAAAGUUGUUGCAGUUAAAAAGCUCGUAGUUGAAUUUCGGGAUUGGCGUGUCGGUCGUGCCCUAAGGGGUAUGAACUGGCAUCGUUGAUUCUCACCUUCUGGAGAAUCACGAUGCCCUUAAUUGGGUGUCGUGUGGAUCCAGGACCUUUACCUUGAAAAAAUUAGAGUGUUUAAAGCAGGCAUUAUUGCUCGAAUACAUUAGCAUGGAAUAAUAAAAUAGGACGGCUUGGUUCUAUUUUGUUGGUUUCUAGGAUCACCGUAAUGAUUAAUAGGGAUAGUUGGGGGCAUUAGUAUUCAAUUGUCAGAGGUGAAAUUCUUGGAUUUAUUGAAGACUAACUACUGCGAAAGCAUUUGCCAAGGAUGUUUUCAUUAAUCAAGAACGAAAGUUAGGGGAUCGAAGACGAUCAGAUACCGUCGUAGUCUUAACCAUAAACUAUGCCGACUAGGAAUCAGACGAUGUUAAUUUUUUAAUGACUCGUUUG